rnacentral:lncRNA from 1 species
CGGUGUUCAGGAGCCAAAACGUUUGACUCGCAAGGUGUUCGACUUCUGAGGUACGACUGUAAACUAAAUUCAAUCUUUUUUUUAAAAAAAAAGAUACCUGGGAAUCUGGGGGUUGCCGUUUAUCCAGCUGCCCCCCCCCCCCGAUGAAUGCUAUCAUCAUCCAAUUUGUGCGAUGUCAUGCCCCCUGAUGACAGCCAUUUUGUGACCGGCACCCACGACUCAUCCUCAAAAUACAAAAUGUGCCCCCUGGCCUGAAAAUAUCAAUCCCUACUUUCCAGCAUCUGCCAUUUCAAAGGUGGUUUCUGCAUUAGAGAGAACUUGCGUGCGCUUCUGAGGUAAAUAUUUCGAAUCUCCUCGGGAUCUGAGGUGGGGGCGGCUUUCUGCUGCUGUUCAACUGCUUUGGAACCCACUUGCCUGAGCUGUUCAUUCGUUUAAGAGGAUAUGUAGUCUUGCUAUGAUCCGUCACCCGGACACCGUCAGGAGUUCCCACUCACCAUCCCACUCGCAAUCAAACUUUUUUCUAAACUUCGCUGUUCUGUGUCCCCCCACUGAAAGCUUUACGUAAUAAAAGUUACAUAACAACAAACGUGUAAGGUGAUUGCCAACUUAGUUGUGCUUGGUUUCCCCACCGAAAUCAUCAGACCUAAGAAUCAGAGAAUCAGGGAAUUAUAGAGCUGGAAGAGACCCUGAGGGAGGAAUACAGUGGUACUUCAGGUUAAGAACUUAAUUCGUUCUGGAGGUCUGUUCUUAACCUGAAACUGUUCUUAACCUGAAGCACCACUUUAGCUAAUGGGGCCUCCUGCUGCUGCCACGCUGCCGGAGCAUGAUUUCUGUUCUCAUCCUGAAGCAAAGUUCUUAACCCGAGGUACUAUUUCUGGGUUAGCAGAGUCUGUAACCUGAAGCGUAUGUAACCUGAAGCAUAUGUAAUCCGAGGUACCACUGUAUCAAUUAAAGCACCCAAGACAGAGGCAACCUUUGCUUAUAAGCUCCUGAGGAAGGAGAGUCCGCCACCUCCCGAGGGAGCCCUUUUCUUCACGAUGUUUAGUUGGAGUCUCCUUCCUUGUAACUUGAAGCCCUUGGUUCAAGUGCUACCCUCCAGAGCAGGAGAAAACAAGCUUGCUCCCUCCUCCAUGUGGCAGCUCUUGAGAUAUUUGAAGACAGCUAUCCUAUCUCCUCUCAGUCUUCUCUUUUCCAGGCUAAACACACCCAGCUCCUUCAAACGCUCCUCAUAAGGCCUGGUUCCCAGGCCCUUCCUCAUCUUGGUUGCCCUCCUCUGCACACAUUUCAGCUUGACAAUGCCAAAGUUAGGUCACAGCUAUGAAUUUCAGUGGGUUUACUUUGAGUAUGGCUGAUACAGGAUGCAAACCAUAACAUAUAAUACAGCCUUCAUAUUUAAAAUCAAAACGAUAUAUUAUUAUGCUCCUUCAGUUCCACACUCAUCAAUUAUUAAUAACGACAACAACAACAACAACAACAACAACAACAACAACAAUAAUACCCCGUCCAUCUGGCUGGAUUUCCCCAGCCACAUGUGCGGCUUCCAGCACAUAUAUCAAAUCUAUAAUAAAACAUUUUAAGUGGGUCAGUAUUACAAAUAAUCAAAUAUAUUCAUGAAUUCAGUAUCAACAGGUCAUAUGAAUCAUUUAUUCUCUCAGAGACGAAAAGACCUUGGAUAAUUCCAAAUUAAACUUCAGCUUCAUACAACCCUGUCUUUCCCAUUUGCUCUUUUUUCCGGUCUCUCAUCUCUUAAUUUCACUAAUUUCGUAAGUUUUGCCGUUGUACCACACCCUUGCUGAACCAUGGGGAUUUGAGCAGGCCGCCAUUUCAUGGUGAGCAACGUUUUGGCUGCUCUUAAUACAUUUGCCAACUAAAGAGAGACAAUUUUGUGGAACCUCGAUUCUCAGAUAUCAAUCAAUACUUGUCUGGGAUUUCAUGGUUCUUCGACUUUCAGAAGGAUACACUUGUCAACACAUAAAGCUGCAUACUGAAUCAGACCCAUGGCCCAUUUCAUCCAGUACUGUAGUAUAAAAAUAGUAAGCCAAUAGAGACUAUUGGGGCCGGCUCUACCAUUAGGUAGAAUCAGGCAGCUUCCUUAAGCAGUGGAUGCUGGAGAUAAGGCAGGGGAUACAAGAUAUUGGGGGACUGAGCUGCCACACUAGCCUGCUGACAACAUGGGGGGGGGCAUGCACACGGGAUGCUGUCACAUCACCACUGUUGGAAUAAUGUACCAUUUUUAUCCAUUUAUUCACUACUACCACCCAUGCAGGGACGUGAGUGGCGCUGUGGGUUAAACCACUGAGCCUAGGGCUUGCCGAUCAGAAGGUCGGUGGUUUGAAUCCCCACGACAGGGUGAGCUCCCAUUGCUCGGGCCCUGCUCCUGCCCACCGAGCAGUUCGAAAGCACCUCAAAGUGCGAUUAGAUAAAUAGGUACUGCUCCAAUGGGAAGCUAAACAGCGUUUCCAUGCACUGCUCUGGUUCGCCAGAAGCGGCUUAGUCAUGCUGGCCACAUGACCCGGAAGCUCUACGCCGGCUCCCUCGGCCAGUAAAGCGAGAUGAGCGCCACAACCCCAGAGUCGGCCACAACUGGACCUAAUGGUCAGGGGUCCCUUUACACUUUACCUUACCACCCAUGCAACCAAAUUUACAUAAUAAAACACAAAACAUAAUUCAUAAUACCAAAAAAUAAAUGAAAACCAAGAGAAAGCAAAUAGCAUCUGUCAAUCUGUAUGUGCUUCUGUAUGUGGAAAGGAAGGAACAGCAUCUUGCCUUUUGCCUCAGGCAGCAAAAUGUGCUGGACCAGACAACCACAGCACAUCGUAAGCAGAAAGCAGACUCGGGGCCCAACUCAACAUGUUAGUUGCGCAGACACAAUUAACCUGCACUCCUUUAGUUGCACAAAUAGCAGCCAAUGGGAAGCUUGAGCAGCCUUGGGACCCUGGGGUGUGUUUGUGGGCGUGAGGGAAGGUAGGUUGGUGCAGUGCAAAUGCACCAGCAGGGGCACCAGAAUGGCUCUGCCAGUGCAUCUGCACCAUGCCAACUCUGGGGAAAUCUGCAAUCAAAAUGACAAUUAUGUUUACUAAACAUGAAGGGGUUAAGACUCUUGUAUUCUUAGAGAAGACAAAUCUAUGUGACAUAAUAUUUCCUGUUUCCUGUAGCAGGAAAUAGGACAAAGGAUCUUAAUCUUUUCUCCUUCCUCCUUGCCUCAAUCUUUCACUUCUUUCAACCCAGCAAUGUGAGUAGACAUACAUGCCUGGGCCCUGCUCAGAGCCCAGACUCCAUUUUCGAAACUCCAUUUUGUAUUUCGUAACCAAGAAGCAUUUUUACCUGAAUACUACAUAGAAGAAUUUUCUGCCUGCAUUGAAAUGUAAGUAAACCUUUUAAUUUUUGCUAAAACAUGUGGUCUAUGCUAAAACCCAGCCUGAGGGACGUUGUUGUUGUUGACACAGAUAAAAGGUGUAAUUGCCUAAUUCCAAGUUUCCAGCAAGCUGCCAACGCGUAUGUGUUUUUACUCUGCUAAAAGGGCUUCACAGUCUGUUUACUCUCAUAUUUCACCCCACACACAUGGCAUAGGAGGAUUGAAUUUUAAUUUACACAUUUAAUCUUCAAUCCAGCCUCCCUGCCAUCGCGUCCCUCCCUCCUGGUAAGCAGUAGCAAAUCACCUGCUGAGAGGCCAAAUCCAUGCCUCUGCCCCGCCAUAUCAUCUGCUCCAGCAGCUGGUCAAGCAAGGGGCAUUAUCACAAUCCAAGGUCAGAGUCCAGCCAGGCAAGAGCAGUUAGGAAGGGCACAGAGGGGUGUGGCCCGAGAAUAAGGGUUGCGGCCUGGGGAGGAGGAGUUUCCUGGGAAGGGAUCUGAGAGACAGAGAGAGAGGCCUGCAGGGCCACAUCCAGUCCUUGGACCCAAGGUUCUUCACCACUCCAUCUCAUGGAAGCAGACUAGGCACGUGGAUUGAGCCCAUGCGGCUGCCCGAGCCCAUUUGACCAAGCAGCUGAAGGCCACCCAGGAGACAGAAGCUUCAGCUGUCAGAGUUUCCUGGCCAUGGGCUGGCGAACAACUAAGCCUCUUCUGGAAGAGAAGGCUCUCUUGCCACCUCCGCCCUGGGGAUUGCUGAUGAAAACAACACAGAAUUAGAUCACGGGGAAAUAUCCCUGGCUGGCCAGUGGCAGAAACUUUGCAGUCUGGCAGAGGAAGGUGCUGAUGGCAAGGUAAAGAAAGCCCUGCACCCUGCACAUGGAAAGAACAGAGCCGAGAGGUUGGCAUUCCUCUUUUCCUCACGGGUUGGGAACACCCAGAGCAUCUGAAGGGACAAAAGCACAAGCCACGCCACUGAUCCGUCGAGCCCAGAAUUUAUGGGGAUGGCCAUAGCUCAGUGGCCAUGGCCUCCAGUUUGCAUGCAAAGGGUCCCAGAGUCAACCCCUUAUGCUGAGUGAUGCCAUUGGUCCAUCUAGUUCAGUACUGUCCACACCGAUGGAGGGCCACUACCAAUCGGUGUGGACAGUACUGAACUAGAUGGACCAAUGGCAUCACUCGGCAUAAGGCAGCCUGCUACCUUCCAUUCAGUCGCAACAGGGAGUAUCUUUUGCAAGCUGAAGCUGCGCAUAACCCACAAAGGAGAAUGCCCGUUGCUUCUCUGUGUCAUGCCAGUGUGGUGUAUUUAUUUAUUACAUAAAUAUACCACCUUUGCCUUCCAAGGAGCUCAAAUUGGUAUGUGUGGUUCUCCUCCUCCCCAGAUCAUCCUCACAACAACUCUGUGAGGUUGUUGUUGUUGUUGUUUAGUCAUUUAGUCGUGUCUGACUCUUUGUGACCUCAUGGACCAGAGCAUGCCAGGCACUUCUGUCUUCCACUGCCUCCCACAGUUUGGUCAAACUCAUGUUUGUAGCUUCGAGAACACUGUCCAACCAUCUCGUCCUCUGUUGUCCCCUUCUCCUUGUGCCCUCCAUCUUUCCCAACAUCAGGGUCUUUUCCAGGGAAUCUUUUCUUCUCAUGAGGUGGCCAAAGUAUUGGCGUCUCAGCUUCAGGAUCUGUCCUUCCAGUGAGCAGUCAGGGUUGAUCUCCUUCAGAAUGGAUAGGUUUGAUCUUCUUGCAGUCCAUGGGACUCUCAAGAGUCUCCUCCAACACCAGAAUUCAAAAGCAUCAAUUCUUCGGCGAUCAGCCUUCUUUAUGGUCCAGCUCUCACUUCCAUACAUCACUCCUGGGAAAACCAUAGCUUUUACUAUACGGACCUUUGUCGGCAAGGUGAUGUCUCUGCUUUUUAACAUGCUGUCUAGGUUUGUCUGUGAGGUAGGAUAGGCUAAGAGAUUAUGACUUGCCCAAAGUCACCUACUGAGCUUCAUGGCCAAGUGGGGAUUCGAACCCUGGUCUUCCAGGUCAUAGUCCAACACUCUUAAGUAUUAUGGCACACUGGCUCUCUGCUUAGAGUGUUGGACUAAGACCUGGGAAACCAAAGUUCGAAUCCCCACUCAGCCAUGAGGCUCACUGAGUGACCUUGGGCCAGUCACUUCCUCUCAGCCCAACCACCUUUGAAAUUUGCACUUCUCUGAAUUUUGUGACUCUCCAGCCAAGUUAUGUGUAGAAAAAUGCACAUGCUAGAGUUAUAAGUUUGCAUAAAUAUGCACGUGUUAGUGAAAAUAAUGUACCAAAACACAUAUUGGGGAAACUGCUUUGCAAAAACGUGUGUUAUGGGGGGGGGGGGUGCACUAAAAAUUCUGAUUAAUUUUCCUGAGGGCUUUUUUCCCCUCCAGAAAGUAUUUGCACGUUGAUUUGGAAAUGCGGAGAACCGAAUUUAUGACUGGAAAAAUAAAAACAUGGGAGAAACCGAAAUUAGCAGGUUCACCCAUCUCUCUCUACCUACGAGGAACGACGGAAGAAGCUGGCUACGUUUAGCCUUCAGGAGAGACAGUUGGGCAGAGGCAUGACAGUGGUCUCCAAGUAUCAGAAGGAACGUCAUGGAGAAGCCCUCUUCUCUUGUUGCUCCAGAGGGCAAGGCGAGAACCAACAAGUGGGAGCAGGAGGGAAGUCGAUUUCAGCUAAAGCAGGGAUCGGGAGAGGACCGAAUCCAGGCAACGGGCCAAAUCCUUAUCUCUACACAGUUCUACAGGCCAUGUUUUGCAGGUGAGCAGCUGCGCCCAUCUGUCAAUCACCUGGUGCUAUAUAAUAGUAUCAGGUGACCUGCUUUAGCCUGGGAGGCAAAUCUGAAUUCAGCUUCACUCCCCUUGGAGCCGCUCAGAACAUACAUAAAACAGAAUGUCCUGUAUCUGUCUGUGUUUGUGUGUUUGUGCAUGAAGUAUG